rfam:Bacteroidetes bacterium OLB9 TZ09_BCD002CONTIG000017, whole genome shotgun sequence.
CUUUAAUGGAGUCCAGAUACCAUUAUUUUAAAAAAAAAACGGGGCGUUAUUCUGAAAAGCCAUACGAGUAGGAAUUUA